rnacentral:rRNA from 1 species
UACGAAGGGGACUAGCGUUGUUCGGAAUCACUGGGCGUAAAGCGCACGUAGGCGGAUGUGUCAGUCAGGGGUGAAAUCCCGGGGCUCAACCUCGGAACUGCCUUUGAUACAGCACGUCUCGAGUCCGGAAGAGGUGGGUGGAAUUCCUAGUGUAGAGGUGAAAUUCGUAGAUAUUAGGAAGAACACCGGUGCGAAGGCGGCCCACUGGUCCGGUACUGACGCUGAGGUGCGAAAGCGUGGGGAGCAAACAGG